AACGAACGCUGGCGGCAUGCCUAACACAUGCAAGUCGAACGAGACCUUCGGGUCUAGUGGCGCACGGGUGCGUAACGCGUGGGAACCUGCCCUUAGGUUCGGAAUAACUCCCCGAAAGGGGUGCAAUACCGGAUAAUGUCUUCGGACCAAAGAUUUAUCGCCUUUGGAUGGGCCCGCGUUGGAUUAGCUAGUUGGUAGGGUAAAAGCCUACCAAGGCGACGAUCCAUAGCUGGUCUGAGAGGAUGAUCAGCCACACUGGGACUGAGACACGGCCCAGACUCAUACGGGAGGCAGCAGUGGGGAAUAUUAGAAAAGGGGCGAAAGCGUGAUACAGCAAUGCAGCGUGAGUGAUGAAGGCCUUAGGGUUGUAAAGCUCUUUUACCCGGGAGGAUAAUGACAGUACCGGGAGAAUAAACUCCGGCUAACUCCGUG
rnacentral:rRNA from 1 species